UCAGCUAAUUAACUCAAAACAUCUGCAAAGGUUUCCUGAGCCUUUAAACGGUCUCUCAGUCUGGGUCAGUAGGCUGCACAAUUAUGGGGAAGACUGCUGACUUGACAGAUGUCCAGAAGACAGUCAUUGACACCCUCCAAGAAAAAACGAUAUUUUAAACAAAUGUCAGGCUUCUGAAAAGUAUGUUCAUUUCUAUGCACUCAAUACUUGGUUGGGCUUCCUUUUGCAUGAAAUACUGCAUCAAUGUGGCGUGGCCUGGAGGCAGUCAGCCUGUGGCACUGCUCAGGUGUAAUGGAAGCCCAGGUUGCUUUGACAGUGGCCCUCAGGUCAUCUGCAUUGGGUCUGGUGUCUCUCAUCUUCCUCUUGACAAUACCCCAUAGAUUCUCUAUGGGGCUCAUGUCAGGCAACUUUGCUGGCCAAUCAAGUACAGUUACACCAUGGUCAGUGAAACAGCUUUUGGUACCUUUGGCAGUGUGGGCAGGUGCCAAGCCCUGUGGAAAAUGAAGGAAGCAUGAACUGCUUUAAAAUGUCCUGGUAGAUGACUGCAUUGAUUGUGGACUUCAGAAAACACAGUAGACCAACACCAGCAGAUGACAUGGCAGCCCAAAUCAUCACUGACUGUGGAAACCUCACACUGGACUUCAAGCAGCAUGGAUUCUGUACCUCUCCACUGUUCCUCCAGACUCUGGGACCUUGAUUUCCAAAUGACAUGCAAAAUUUACUCUCACCUGAAAAGAGGAUUUUCUCUGGACCACAGAGCAGCUGUCCAGUUCUUUUUCUCCACAGCAUAGACUCUCCAGUAGUUUACAGCCCAAGGUUCACCGUCCUCCUGCUCACUUUGGCCUUGUUUGUGUUUGCCAUUUGUUUCCACAAAAAGGUCACUAGGGGGCAGCAACCAGGAGGCCAGGAGAAUGUCAAGCCUGACUUUUAUGACCUUGGUGCUUCUGGAGUUGGCAGUUUGCUAAAUGUGGAGGCAGCACCCCAGAGCAAAGAUAUCUAAGAAGCUAAUCUAGGAACCAAAGAGAUCAUUCAGGUUUUUCUUAAUGGCAUUUUGGUCAAAACUGAUCAUAACAUAAUUGUAACUCCACUGAGUACUCCACACGUGUUGUCUUCUUCCUUGUCAGAACCUGGUGCCUACAAUACCCACAGUGCAACUCAACUGUCAAGAGUUCAGUCAGAAAUUCAUGUUGGACAUGGUAGUAGCAGCCCAUGUAGCCACAGAUGUCUGGUAUACUCAGUUCCUUUUGACUUCACAUUAACAGAUCGAUUUCAUUGUCAAACUUCAGACCCAGCUGAUGCUGCUGACUCAACUCACAUCACUUGAGGCGGUUUGGUAAAAAUGCAGUUUUACAAACCAAGACAUGCAUGUCAUGGUGUUUGUGUAAAAUCCAUGACAUUCCCCUCAAGUCCAAAAUUAUACUGGUGAGGUAUUUAUCUUGAUAUGCAUAUUGUUCAAAAACAGUAUGUCAAAAGCUGUUAGUUACUCAAGUAAGAAAACAAAAUAUAAAGUUCUGCAUGUACAUAACAAGUUCACAGCUGUAC